UGGAAAGUUUAAUCUGAUAUCAAAAUGGUC
rnacentral:piRNA from 1 species